CAGUGAUGUUUAUAUAUGAGACAUCAUAUGCGGUUGCGGUUUAUUCUGUAAUUGUUAUAUGGUGCUCCGCUGUUUUAUGUAUAUUGUUUAUAGCCGGAGGCGUGCACUUCUCCCCUUGUAGGACGUCGUGACCCAUUGGAUAAUUAAAAUGUUGUCUAAGRCUCGUGAUGGAGACCGUGGCAUUAGGUUUCGGCUUUAAUGACCCGGACUUACGAUGUCCCGACAUCUAUCCGAUGGUAGUAUUANGAUGAUGGGUCGCUAUAAAUAUGCGAGCGUUCAGAUCCAUAACAAAUGCUUAUAUGGUAUAUCAGUGGAAAUCGGAUUUAAUGCCGGUUCUGCACGUAUGGUAUUGUUAGUUGUGGUAUUCUCGAACCGUUCCUUUUCAUCAGUCAACGGCGUUUAUGUUUUGGGUAAUUACAGGACCCGUCUUGAAACMCGGACCAAGGAGUCUAGCAUGUGCGCGAGUCAUUGGGACUCUGUGAAACCUAAAGGCGCAAUGAAAGUGAAGUAUUUGUGAAUUUUCGUAAUUCACUUGUUUAAGGGAAGAUGGGUAACGUUAUUUAUGUUACCUCGCAUUCCCGGGGCGUCGCGUACUUAUUGCAAGUUGCGGCGCACCAAGAGCGUACACGCUGGGACCCGAAAGAUGGUGAACUAUGCCUGGUCAGGAUGAAGUCAGGGGAANCCCUGAUGGAGGUCCGUAGCGAUUCUGACGUGCAAAU
rnacentral:rRNA from 1 species